rnacentral:lncRNA from 1 species
AUUUUGUUUAAUUUCCUUUUUUCUCUGCAGCCGAGGACGGUGAAAUCCAGAACUGCUGGCACUGGAAGCCGGCACUGGCGACUCCUGGUCCAGUUUUCCACUAACACAUCGUGUUUCCUCUCUUCCUGUGAAUCUUCAUGGGAGGCCUUGGAGACAAAAUAAGUCAC